rnacentral:sRNA from 1 species
GCCAGGUGCGGUGGCUCACACCUGUAAUCCCAGCACUUUAGGAGGCCUAGGAAGGAGGAUCACUUGAGCCCAGGAGUUUGAGACCAGCCUGGGCAACAUGGUGAGACUCUUGUCUCUACAAAAAUUUUAAAAAUUAGCUGGGCAUGGUGGUGUGUACCUGUGGUCCCAGCUACUCAGGAGGCUUAGGUGGGAGGAUCACUUGAGCCCAGGAGGUUGAGGCUGCAGUGAUCCACGAUUGCACCACUGCACUCUAGCCUGGGCAACAGAGUGAGACCCUCUCUAA